rfam:Tremella mesenterica DSM 1558 unplaced genomic scaffold TREMEscaffold_7, whole genome shotgun sequence.
AGUGCGUUCGGAUAGUGGCUAUUCCGCUUCACUCGAACCCCCUUGUUUUCGAUAUGAAGUGCCGUAAGGCGCGUAGGUUCGAGUCCUACACGCACUG